UUUGGUCAGUUGUAAUUCUCUCCUACUUACUUUUUCUUAUGUAUGCAUCCAUUACUGUUUCUUAUGCAUGCAUCUAUGUGGUACUUUUUUUUUUAAUGUCAGUGCAUGUAUCUGUGUACUUGCUUGCUAUGUACCAGCUAGAAAACUUACUUUUUAGGAUUACAUACAUUAAGAUUCCAUUUUUUAAAUGAAUCUAUUGAAUUUAAUAUUGAAAGUUGUGUUAUAAAUGUUGUCUUUAUCUUGAAACUACUGAAGUUCAGCCACCUGAUGUUGAUGGCCAUGGCCCAUGGUUGCCUACAUGUCUGGCAUUAUGCUUCUCUAGCUUAUUUGAGUGAUGGAAUGAGUUAUGGUUUGGUAUAUUCUUGAGCCUCAGCUGAGCUGAGCAUAGCUCUUCAAUGUUCAAUGAAAGUUCAUUGCCACUUGCAUCCUUAUGAUGCCAGUAGCUAGUUUGGUCGAGAAGAUUGAAUUCAUAAUUUUUAGGAUUUUUGAAAUGACAAAAGGAGAAAACAACACAGAAUGCUGACCAACAUUUGCAGUCAUUGUUCUAGGUUGUUUCCAUUGUCUUAUUUGUGGACAAUAACAGUUUUCCUCAUUUUCAAAGUUUAUACAUGUAUGCUAAUUUUGACAACAUUUUCAUUGUUCAAUUGCCUAUUUCUUUUAAUUGAUCUCAAGUUGGGUUGAUAAGGGGGCCCAGCCUUCAUCAGUUAUCCAGUCAUUUCCUGGUCACUGAUGACCAUUGCUAUCCAUUUAUCAUGACUGCUGCUUAUAAGAAAUCACUACUACUUGCAACAGCUCUGCACUAGUGAGAGCCAUGUUUGUCGCCUCUAUGACAUUUGAGGUUGGCUGGGAGAAGCCCAAGGAGAGAAAGAAAAAGGGUUAGGGUGUUCUAAUGUAUUUAUUUUCGCUUGAAUUUUAGGCGGCCAAUGCUUAAUAUUGAGGAGCAAAAUAGACUGUAUUUUCAUUUUUAACAAUCUGUUUGACAUGCAUAUCAUCAAACAACUGGGAUAGAUGGGACAGCAGUAACUGUGGACUUUAUUGUUCACUUACAUUUUGAUUAUUGUAUGCGACUGAUGUUAGCAGGUGGAACUUGAUUCUGUCAAAAU
rnacentral:misc_RNA from 1 species